GGGGUUGUGGCUCAGUGGUAGAGUGCUCACCUAGCAUGUGCGAGCCCUGAGUUCGAUCCUUAGCACCA
rnacentral:tRNA from 1 species